rnacentral:rRNA from 1 species
UUCCCUGAGUAGCGGCGAGCGAAACGGGAAAAGCCCAAACCAACAAGCUUGCUUGUUGGGGUUGUAGGACUCCAAUAUGGUCGUUCUUUCAGAUAGUCGAAUGACUUGGAAAAGUCAGUCAAAGAGGGUAAAAACCCCGUAGACGAAAUGUGGAAGACACCUAGGAGGAUCCUGAGUACGGCGGAACACGAGAAAUUCCGUCGGAAUCCGGGAGGACCAUCUCCCAAGGCUAAAUACUCCCUAGUGACCGAUAGUGAACCAGUACCGUGAGGGAAAGGUGAAAAGCACCCCGGAAGGGGAGUGAAAUAGAACCUGAAACCGUGUGCCUACAACAAGUCAAAGCCCGUUAAUGGGUGAUGGCGUGCCUUUUGUAGAAUGAACCGGCGAGUUACGAUUGCAUGCGAGGUUAAGUUGAAGAGACGGAGCCGCAGCGAAAGCGAGUCUGAAUAGGGCGUUUGAGUAUGUAGUCGUAGACCCGAAACCAUGUGAUCUACCCAUGUCCAGGUUGAAGGUGCGGUAAAACGCACUGGAGGACCGAACCCACGUACGUUGAAAAGUGCGGGGAUGAGGUGUGGGUAGCGGAGAAAUUCCAAACGAACUUGGAGAUAGCUGGUUCUCUCCGAAAUAGCUUUAGGGCUAGCCUCGGAAUUGAGAAUGAUGGAGGUAGAGCACUGUUUGGACUAGGGGCCCAUCUCGGGUUACCGAAUUCAGAUAAACUCCGAAUGCCAUUCAUUCAUAUCCGGGAGUCAGACUGUGAGUGAUAAGAUCCAUAGUCGAAAGGGAAACAGCCCAGACCACCAGCUAAGGUCCCAAAAUAUAUGUUAAGUGGAAAAGGAUGUGGGGUUGCACAGACAACUAGGAUGUUGGCUUAGAAGCAGCCACCAUUUAAAGAGUGCGUAAUAGCUCACUAGUCGAGUGACCCUGCGCCGAAAAUGUACCGGGGCUAAACAUAUUACCGAAGCUGUGGAGUACACCUUUAGGUGUAUUGGU